GUCAGCUCGUGUCGUGAGAUGUUGGGUUAAGUCCCGCAACGAGCGUAACCCUUGUUUUUAGUUGCCUUUCGAGGAUAUUUAGAAAGACUGCCGAUUAUAAAUCGGAGGAAGGUAAGGACGACGUCAAGUCAUCAUGCCCCUUACACUCUGGGCUACACACGUGCUACAUUGGGUAGAACAAUAAGUUGCUAAGUUGCGAAACCAAGCGAAUCUUCAAAUCUACUCUAAGUUCGGAUUGUAGGCUGCAACUCGCCUACAUAAAGAUGGAAUCGCUAGUAAUCGCUGGUCAGCUACACAGCGGUGAAUCCGUUCCCGGGCCUUGUACACACC
rnacentral:rRNA from 14 species